rnacentral:sRNA from 1 species
UUGCGGGAGCUCCUCUUCGCCGCGGGCGC